rnacentral:rRNA from 1 species
GAUGAACGCUGGCGGCGUGCCUAAUACAUGCAAGUCGAGCGAACAGACGAGGAGCUUGCUCCUCUGACGUUAGCGGCGGACGGGUGAGUAACACGUGGAUAACCUACCUAUAAGACUGGGAUAACUUCGGGAAACCGGAGCUAAUACCGGAUAAUAUCUUGAACCGCAUGGUUCAAUAGUGAAAGACGGUUUUGCUGUCACUUAUAGAUGGAUCCGCGCUGCAUUAGCUAGUUGGUAAGGUAACGGCUUACCAAGGCAACGAUGCGUAGCCGACCUGAGAGGGUGAUCGGCCACACGAGAACUGGGACGCGGUCAAGACGACUACGGGAGGCAGCAGUAGGGAAUCUGCCGCAAUGGGCGAAAGCCUGGCGGAGCAACGGCGCGUGAGUGAUGAAGGUCUUCGGAUCGUAAAACCCUGUUAUGAGGGAAGAACAGAUGUGUAAGGUACUGUGCACUUCGUGACGGUACCUAAUCAGAAAGCCACGGCUAACUACGUG